rnacentral:rRNA from 1 species
AUUGAACGCUGGCGGCAGGCCUAACACAUGCAAGUCGAACGAGUGGCGGACGGGUGAGUUAUGUCUGUGAAACUGCCUGACGGAGGGGGAUAACUACUGGAAACGGUAGCUAAUACCGCCUACCAUCACCUGUGCCCAGAUGGGAUUAGCUUGUUGGUGGGGUAACGGCACACCAAGGCGACGAUCCCUAGCUGGUCUGAGAGGAUGACCAGCCACACUGGAACUGAGACACGGUCCAGACUCCUACGAGAGGCAGCAGUGGGGAAUAUUGCACAAUGGGCGCAAGCCUGAUGCAGCCAUGCCGCGUGUAUGAAGAAGGUCUUCGGAUUGUAAAGUACUUUAAGCGGGGAGGCGUUACCCGCAGAAGAAGCACCGGCUAACUCCGUGCCAGCCGCCGCGGUAAUAC